rnacentral:lncRNA from 1 species
GAGAAGAUGGAUUGACAAGAGAAGAACUUCUAGCUAUUAGAAUUCAACAAUUAGAGCAAAGAUUGGAAGAUGUACAAAUAGCAUUAGAAAGAUUAAAAAGGUCAAGGGUACAAAACAAGGCACAAUUUGAUAAGCAGUGUCGAUUGAGGCUUAAAGCAAUUGAAGAAGGUGAUUGGAUUUUGAUCUAUAAUAGUAGCUUGGAUAAUCAAUAUAGUACUUUAAGGAAGUUUUCUAAGCAAUGGUUUGGACCGUUGUUAUAAUACAUGAAAUCUUGCUUGAGAAUGCUCCGAGCACCUGGCUAUGGAAGGAAGAAUGGAAAUUGCAAUAAUAAAAUCUUAAUUCCAAUAGAAUACUAACAAUAUUCUAAUUAGACCAUAAUAAUGCUAAGCAAGCUUAAUCAAAUUCAAAAAAACCUCAAAGAAAUUUCAAAUAAACAAUAAGAAUUCUUAAAGAAAUAUUAGAAGAAUUACAAAUAUCACUCAAAUACAUCUCAAUUAAAUCUUAAUUUAAUUCUAGUUAAAAUCCUAUUGAACUUUAUUCAAAUUUUAGGCCAAAACUAAUUGAAUCUUAAAUCCUAAUAAAAUCAUAAAUCCUAAAUGAAACCUAAACAAACCUUAAACCAAAUCCCGACUAAAUCCUCAACCAAAUCCUAACCAAAUCCUAAUCCAAAUUCUAAACCCUAAAUCCUAAACCAAACCCUAACCAAACCUUAAUCCAAAAUCUAAAUCCUAAAUCAAAUCCUAAUC